CAAGACCAUACAACGUGUGUUCGACGCCUGCCUGCAUCCAACGAGCACAGCUUAUAAAGGACUCAAUGAACACAUCCGUUGAUCCGUGCACCGACUUCUACGCUUACGCUUGCGGUGGCUGGAUGGCAAAGCACAAGAUACCAGAGAGCCAGUCGAUGACGAGCAGUUUCUCCCUGCUGGACGAUGAACUACGGGAAACGCUUCGAGGCAUACUAGGAAACAUGUCCAUCGUUCGGGAACAUCAAAACGUGACAGACAAGGCUGCUAUCGUCUACAACGC